UACGUAGGUGGCAAGCGUUGUCCGGAAUUAUUGGGCGUAAAGCGCGCGCAGGUGGUUCCUUAAGUCUGAUGUGAAAGCCCACGGCUCAACCGUGGAGGGUCAUUGGAAACUGGGGAACUCGAGUGCAGAAGAGGAAAGUGGAAUUCCAAGUGUAGCGGUGAAAUGCGUAGAGAUUUGGAGGAACACCAGUGGCGAAGGCGACUUUCUGGUCUGUAACUGACACUGAGGCGCGAAAGCGUGGGGAGCAAACAGG
rnacentral:rRNA from 1 species